UACGUAGGGGGCAAGCGUUGUCCGGAAUCAUUGGGCGUAAAGAGCGUGUAGGCGGCUUGGUAAGUCCGCUGUGAAAGUCCAGGGCUCAACCCUGGAAUGCCGGUGGAAACUGUCAAGCUUGAGUCCGGAAGAGGCGAGUGGAAUUCCUGGUGUAGCGGUGAAAUGCGCAGAUAUCAGGAGGAACACCAAUGGCGAAGGCAGCUCGCUGGGCCGGUACUGACGCUGAGACGCGAAAGCGUGGGGAGCAAACAGG
rnacentral:rRNA from 1 species